rnacentral:rRNA from 1 species
UAUUAGUAAGCGGAGGAAAAUAAACUAACCAGGAUUCUCUUAGUAACGGCGAGUGAACAGAGAUUAGCCCAGCACCGAAGCCUAUAGCUUGCUAUAAGGCAAUGUGGUGUUUAGAUUUGCUUUUGAAUAUUUAUUCAGAUCUUAAGUCCGCAUGUGAAAGCGGCUUGCUCAGGAAGGUGGAAGUCCUGUUUACGGUCUGAAUAUUAUGUUCUUUUGCUUAUCUUGGAGUCGGAUUGUUUGAGAAUGCAAUCCAAAGUUGGUGGUAAACUCCAUCAAAGGCUAAAUACCUGUGUGAGUCCGAUAGCCAACAAGUACCGUGAGGGAAAGUUGAAAAGUACUCUAAAUAGAGAGUAAACAGUACGUGAAACCAUGAAGAGUAAACGGAGAGAGUCAAGCUUUAUGGCUUGUAAGGUUAAACUCACAUAGAGAUGUUAAUAGUGUGUGGUGGUUAUUUAGUGCUUGUGUACGUUCGAGUGACCAAGUUGUUGGUCUCGAGUGUUAGAGCACCACACUAUUGUUUGUGAAUCCUUGCAAGUCAGCACCACGUCUUUUCGACUAAAGAUAAUAUGUGUAAAGCUGUGACUGGGCUAUUAGUCCAGUUAUGGUGUACAGUGGUUAUGUUUAACAGCAUAAUUUUCAAUCUCCGGAUUGUCUACACUAAUUAUCAAUUUGGUUGGAUUGAAUUAGCUUGCUGUAUUGGUUGUUCAAUUUGUUUGCUCAGUUAUGAUUGCCUUCGGGAUCAUGGCGAAAGUGAAUGGGUUGUUCAGUUAGUGCUCAGGUUGAAUCUGUGGUGUCGAAAGUAGACUUCUUUCUGA